GACGAACGCUGGCGGCGUGCUUAACACAUGCAAGUCGAACGGAAAGGCCCUGCUUUUGUGGGGUGCUCGAGUGGCGAACGGGUGAGUAACACGUGAGUAACCUGCCCUUGACUUUGGGAUAACUUCAGGAAACUGGGGCUAAUACCGGAUAGGAGCUCCUGCUGCAUGGUGGGGGUUGGAAAGUUUCGGCGGUUGGGGAUGGACUCGCGGCUUAUCAGCUUGUUGGUGGGGUAGUGGCUUACCAAGGCUUUGACGGGUAGCCGGCCUGAGAGGGUGACCGGCCACAUUGGGACUGAGAUACGGGCCAGACUCCUACGGGAGGCAGCAGUGGGGAAUAUUGCACGAUGGGCGGAAGCCUGAUGCAGCAACGCCGCGUGCGGGAUGACGGCCUUCGGGUUGUAAACCGCUUUCGCCUGUGACGAAGCGUGAGUGACGGUAAUGGGUAAAGAAGCACCGGCUAACUACGUG
rnacentral:rRNA from 1 species